rnacentral:SRP_RNA from 2 species
GCCGGGCGUGAUGGCUUAUGCCUGUAAUCCCAACACUUUGGGAGGCUGAGGUGGGUGGAUCACUUGAGGUCAGGAGUUCGAGGCCAGCCUGGCCAACAUGGUGAAACCCCAUCUCUA